AUACCUUUCUCGGCCUUUUGGCUAAGAUCAAGUGUAGUAUCUGUUCUUAUCAGUUUAAUAUCUGAUACGUCGGCCAUUAGCCCACAUGAUAUUAAAUUUAUUUUUUGAGGGGAGGGUUUAUCACAGUAGCUUGCUACUGGGACCCUCGAGUGUCGCCUAUGCGUUGCACUAUUGAUCGGGCCUGGCGCAGCCCAA
rfam:Gossypium arboreum cultivar AKA8401 contig_33196_1, whole genome shotgun sequence.